UCCUCAAACAUCAACGCCAAUGAAGAGAGGUGUUUGGCACGCAGACACCAUAUCAAGCAUUGGAUCAAGUGAUACAGACGAGCAAGGAGACAAGGCAACAUCGGAACUUGCUGAAGCAGACACAACAAAGCCUCGUGGAUUGGCUGAACUUGAAUGGAGCCUAACUGAGAUGAGCAUUGAUGAUGAACAACAUGUUGAUGAAGGAGCCAUCAAUGAUCUGAGAAAUAGC